CUCCUUUGACGUUAGCGGCGGACGGGUGAGUAACACGUGGGUAACCUACCUAUAAGACUGGGAUAACUUCGGGAAACCGGAGCUAAUACCGGAUAAUAUUUCGAACCGCAUGGUUCGAUAGUGAAAGGUGGUUUUGCUAUCACUUAUAGAUGGACCCNCGCCGUAUUAGCUAGUUGGUAAGGUAACGGCUUACCAAGGCGACGAUACGUAGCCGACCUGAGAGGGUGAUCGGCCACACUGGAACUGAGACACGGUCCAGACUCCUACGGGAGGCAGCAGCG
rnacentral:rRNA from 1 species